GCCGUGGAAGGGACAAGAACCCCAUCUUUAGCUGAAAUAAGGAAAAGUCCUGCAACAUUUUUGACAUGCAACAUGGAGGCUUGAGAAGUGAAGGAAUUAAGCACAUCCUGGGUGACUCCACUGGGAAAGCACUCUCAGGAGUUUGCAGCUGAUUUCCCCUGGACUUUGCCGCAGAUGCCUUUUCCUUUUGCUUAUUUUCCUUUGGAUCCUUUGCAGCAAUAAAUGUUGGCCAUGAGUACAACUAUAUGGAGCAGGUUUAGCUGACAAACUCACUGAUCUCCUCUUGGGCCCUUCCUUCACCACCCUUUCUACUGAGCUGACCUUCCUUUUGGGCACGGGAGCAAAGGGUUA